CUAAAUAGCUAGCUCUCUGCAACUCUCACAUGGUCAACCCCCGAAGCUAAGCAGGGCUGCGCCUGGUUAGUAUCUGGAUGGGAGACCUCAUGGGAAAGCUAGGUUGCUGCCGGAA
rnacentral:rRNA from 1 species